GUCAGGCUGUCGCUGAGAGGUUUCGAGCAGUGAAGAUAUACACGGUAUGACUUGUGGAAACUUCUUCAAAUGGAUCUCUCCAGCAAGCUUCACCAGUAUCCUUGCGGCAAGCUCCAUAAUCUCCUUGUCUUGCCGGCUUCUCGAAUCGAGCGCCUGCAGCAGUUUCUCAACUAUCUGGCUGCAGGAUGCCGACCCAAUGAGCUGUGCAAUCAUCGAGUGCUGCUCCGUGAGCUCUGACUGUGCCAAGAGUGUGUCCAAAAUCCUUGCCCCGGAGAGGUAGCUGCCAGAUGAUUCAGACUUCAUCAAACCCACAGCGUACGUGACCAGGUUCCUUUCCUUUACGAAUGAUGGGUCCUUGGCGCACCCAUUUCUGGUCUGACGCAGAAUAUGAGAAGAAUCUGUAGCAGAAGAGCACACCCUGGAACAGAGCCAGUGAGUACAAGACAUUCAGAGCAGGCUGCAGGUUUGCACCUCCAUCCACCUCGCCGUAAUCGCGCAGUAUUAGGCGCCACAGCGAUAUCCCGCCGGUGAUCAUCAAUCCACACAAGUAAAGUGCCGCUAAAGGACACAGUAUAACUGCGAACACCAUCUGCUGAAUGAACAAUAUGGUAAUGGCUACCAAUAGGCGUGCCAUGGAGGGAUCAUUGUUAUCAGACUUUUUCCUUCUCCAGAUGCGCCAUCGCCUGUCGACAUCAGUGUUUUUUCUGAUCACCGUGGCAUAUAUAGCACGCAGGAAACCGAAGUACGAUCUCCUGAUAUACUUUAACUUGUCGUGCAGAGAUACAUCGAAGACCCUGCAAGUCAGAGUUCCCAGUUAGACCAUGUGUGUCCCAAGGCAAGGGUUCAAUUUCAUUGCACUCACACCGGAGGAGAACGAGGUCCUCACGUCUCCCUUCCCAGAGAAGAAAGUACGGGAGGCCAUGUCUUAGAUGGAACACAACAAAUCUUUGGGGCCAAAAGGAUUUCCUACCGAGUUUUAUCAAAAGUUUUGGGAGGCAUUAAAGGGGACUUGUUGCAACACUCAUCUACACCAAGCGGAAACACCCUUAUUUCAGCUAAAUUUGGGCUGAUCAGACUACUGCUCAAGAAAGGGCGUCCGGUGCAAUUUCAGCAGUAUCAUCCUAUUUGCCUCCUAAAUGUGAGCUUUAAAUUUAUCACUAAGGUCAGCAUAAAUCGUAUUGCAGAAAUCAUCCACGACGUUAUCUGUCCAACUGAAUGAGCUUUCAUGCCGAUCAGACACAUCCCUGAGGGGGUUGAUAGUUUUAUUGUAUGAAAUCAUGCAUGCCCUUCACAUUAAGAAGGUUUUA